ACCCGCGUAGCUCAGUUGGUAGGAGCGACUGUGAUUCAAUCAAGAGGUCAUCAUGGGUUCGAGUCCCGUCGCGGAUA